UUGAACGCUGGCGGCAUGCCUUACACAUGCAAGUCGAACGGUAGAGGGGCAACCCUUGAGAGUGGCGAACGGGUGAGUAAUAUAUCGGAACGUGCCCAGUCGUGGGGGAUAACGCAGCGAAAGCUGCGCUAAUACCGCAUACGAUCUAUGGAUGAAAGCGGGGGAUCGCAAGACCUUGCGCGAUUGGAGCGGCCGAUAUCAGAUUAGGUAGUUGGUGGGGUAAAAGCCCACCAAGCCGACGAUCUGUAGCUG
rnacentral:rRNA from 1 species